UUAGAGCAUUUAUUUGCAGAAAAUAAAAAAAAAUAGCUGAUAUAACAAAAAUGAUGCAGAGCUUUCAGAACUCAAAUAAUGCAAAGAAAUCAAUAUUUGUUGGAAUAACCCUGGUUUUUAAUCACAGUUUCCAUGCAUGAAGGUUUUAGGCACUGUGAAUAAACUAGGUAAUGGUGGCUGGAGUCAUUCAGUUCAGAUGGAACUGGAUGCAGUGUGAUGCCCUCAGUGAUGUCAUACAAUUCUAGAACAGGCAGCUCAGCAGCGUCUCCAUGGUGACCAGCAGGUUCUAAAGGGAGGUGUUUAGAACCCUGAGCCUCAGUCAGCAGAUCGUCCUGAAGGGAGGGUGAGUGUCUUUGAUUCUCUCUCUAAGGCUACAUUCACACAGCAACUAAAAGUGGUCCAAAUUACAUAUUUUGCCUCAUAUACAGAGUGAUAUGAAACAGUUUGGGCACCACUGAUCAUUUUUAUGAUUUUCCUUUAUAAAUCACUGGUUGUUCGGAUCAGUAAAUUUUAGUUAAAUAUAUCAUAUAGCAGAUGAUCACAGUGAUAUUUGAGAAGUGAAAUGAAGUUUAUAGGAUUUACAGAAAAGUCUGCAAUAAUCCUUUAAACUAAAUUAGGCAGAUGCAUAUAUUUGGGCCCCAACAGAAAAUUAAUCAAAUCCAAAUUUAGUAGAUCCUCUUUUGGAGAAGGUUCAGGCUUUUCGUGCAGAGACUGAAAAUAGACCAGAAACUGGUUUUACAGCUAAAUAAACAUAAUUAAACCAGGACUAAUUAACAAACAUACACCAGAAACACAACUACCUAUCUGUUGAGUGUAAGUAACAAUUUCAGAAAUGUAUUUAGCCCUAUAAAAUAAGCAAAUCUAUUGGUUAUCACAUGAUAUCAUUGAUGUCUUGAAGAACAUUGUUAAUUAUUGUAUUUAUUAUGGAGUAAAAAAAAUAAUAAUAAUAAUAAUAAUAAGAAGAAGAAGAAGAAAAAUAAUAAUAAUAAUACUGAGAAGAAGAUGAAGAAGAAAAUAAUAAUAAUAAUAAUAAUAAUAAUAAUAAGAAGAAGAAGAAGAAGAAGAAGAAGACGAAAAACAAAAAGAAACAGAAGAGUGAUUCGGGCCCGUCAUUUUCCGAAGCCACAUAAGCAUGACCAAGACUGGACAGGGGUUCAGACUGUAGACUGCAAACUAAUGUGAUUAAAUGGGAUUUUUUUUCAUCAAUAGUUUACGACCUGAGGAGGAUGGGUCCCCCCUGUGAGUCUGGUUCCUCCCAAGGUUUCUUCCUCCAGCUUUGAGGGAGUUUUUCCUUGCCACUGUCGCCUUUGGCUUGCUCACAGGGGGUUUUAUAAAUAAAGUG